rnacentral:rRNA from 1 species
GACGAACGCUGGCGGCGUGCUUAACACAUGCAAGUCGAACGAUGAACCCGGAGCUUGCUCCGGUGGAUUAGUGGCGAACGGGUGAGUAACACGUGAGUAACCUGCCCUUGACUCUGGGAUAACUGCGGGAAACUGUAGCUAAUACCGGAUACGACCCUCGGCGGCAUCGCCAGGGGGUGGAAAGAAUUUCGGUCAAGGCUGGACUCGCGGCCUAUCAGCGAGUUGGUGAGGUAACGGCUCACCAAGGCGACGACGGGUAGCCGGCCUGAGAGGGUGACCGGCCACACUGGGACUGAGACACGGCCCAGACUCCUACGGGAGGCAGCAGUGGGGAAUAUUGCGCAAUGGGCGAAAGCCUGACGCAGCAACGCCGCGUGCGGGAUGACGGCCUUCAGGUUGUAAACCGCUUUCAGCAGGGAAGAAGCCGCAAGGUGACGGUACCUGCAGAAGAAGCACCGGCUAACUACGUGCCAGCAGCCGCCGUAA